rnacentral:rRNA from 1 species
UGCUGACUACCCGCAGACGGGUGAGGAACACGUACGCAACCUCCCUCAAACCGGGGCACAACCUUGAGAAAUCAGGGCUAAUUCCCCAUAACAUUGCGAAAGGGCAUCUGAUUGCAAUUAAAGAUUUAUCAGUUUGAGAUGGGCGUGCGUUCGAUUAGCUAGUUGGUAAGGUAACGGCUUACCAAGGCAACGAUCGAUAGCUGGUGUGAGAGCACGACCAGCCACACGGGCACUGAGAUACGGGCCCCACUCCUACGGGAGGCAGCAGU